GUCCAGACUCCUACGGGAGGCAGCAGUGGGGGAUAUUGCACAAUGGGGGGAACCCUGAUGCAGCGACGCCGCGUGGGUGAAGAAGCGCCUCGGCGCGUAAAGCCCUGUCAGCAGGGAAGAAACAGACGGUACCUGACUAAGAAGCCCCGGCUAACUACGUGCCAGCAGCCGCGGUAAUACGUAGGGGGCAAGCGUUAUCCGGAUUCACUGGGUGUAAAGGGAGCGUAGACGGCGACGCAAGUCUGGAGUGAAAGCCCGGGGCCCAACCCCGGGACUGCUCUUGGAACUGCGUGGCUAGAGUGCAGGAGGGGCAGGCGGAAUUCCUGGUGUAGCGGUGAAAUGCGUAGAUAUCAGGAGGAACACCGGCGGCGAAGGCGGCCUGCUGGACUGCAACUGACGUUGAGGCCCGAAAGCGUGGGGAGCAAACAGGAUUAGAUACCCUUGUA
rnacentral:rRNA from 1 species